rnacentral:rRNA from 1 species
AGAGUUUGAUCCUGGCUCAGGAUGAACGCUAGCGGCAGGCCUAAUACAUGCAAGUCGAACGGGAAGGGCCCCUUCGGGGGUCCUGAGAGUGGCGCACGGGUGCGCAACGCGUAUGCAACCAACCCCCGACGGGCGGAUAGCCGGUGGAAACGCCGGAUAAUACGCCAUGGUUCCGAGGGAGGGCAUCCUCCUUUGGAUAAAGCAGCGAUGCGGUCGGGGACGGGCAUGCGUCCCAUUAGAUGGUAGGCGGGGUGACGGCCCACCUAGUCGACGAUGGGUAGGGGAUCUGAGAGGACGGUCCCCCACACUGGUACUGAGACACGGACCAGACUCCUGCGGGAGGCAGCAGUAAGGAAUAUUGGUCAAUGGGCGUGAGCCUGAACCAGCCAAGUAGCGUGCAGGAUGACGGCCCUACGGGUUGUAAACUGCUUUUAUGCGGGGAUAAAGUGCGCGACGUGUCGCGUUUUGUAGGUACCGCAUGAAUAAGGACCGGCUAAUUCCGUGCCAGCAGCCGCGGUAAUACGGAAGGUCCGGGCGUUAUCCGGAUUUAUUGGGUUUAAAGGGAGCGCAGGCGGCCUUUUAAGCGUGACGUGAAAUGUAGGCGCUCAACGUCUGAAUUGCGUCGCGAACUGUUAGGCUUGAGUAGACGGAAUGCCGGUGGAAUUCGUGGUGUAGCGGUGAAAUGCUUAGAUAUCACGAAGAACUCCGAUUGCGAAGGCAGCUGGCAGCAGUUUUACUGACGCUCAUGCUCGAAAGUGCGGGUAUCGAACAGGAUUAGAUACCCUGGUAGUCCGCACGGUAAACGAUGGAUGCCCGCUGUUUGCCUUUGAGGUAAGCGGCCAAGCGAAAGCAUUAAGCAUCCCACCUGGGGAGUACGCCGGCAACGGUGAAACUCAAAGGAAUUGACGGGGGCCCGCACAAGCGGAGGAACAUGUGGUUUAAUUCGAUGAUACGCGAGGAACCUUACCCGGGCUUGAACUGCAGGAGAACGAUUCAGAGAUGAUGAGGUCCUUCGGGACUCCUGUGGAGGUGCUGCAUGGUUGUCGUCAGCUCGUGCCGUGAGGUGUCGGCUUAAGUGCCAUAACGAGCGCAACCCUUCUCUUCAGUUGCCAUCAGGCUAUGCUGGGCACUCUGGAGACACUGCCACCGUAAGGUGUGAGGAAGGUGGGGAUGACGUCAAAUCAGCACGGCCCUUACGUCCGGGGCUACACACGUGUUACAAUGGCGCGUACAGAGGGCUGGUGUAUGGCAACAUGCAUCGAAUCCUUAAAACGCGUCUCAGUUCGGACCGGGGUCUGCAACCCGACCCCGCGAAGCUGGAUUCGCUAGUAAUCGCGCAUCAGCCAUGGCGCGGUGAAUACGUUCCCGGGCCUUGUACACACCGCCCGUCAAGCCAUGAAAGCCGGGGGCGCCUGAAGUCCGUGACCGCGAGGGUCGGCCUAGGGUGAAACCGGUGAUUGGGGCUAAGUCGUAACAAGGUA